UAGGGAGCAAGCGUUGUCCGGAUUUACUGGGUGUAAAGGGUGCGUAGGCGGCUUUGCAAGUAAGAUGUGAAAUCUAUGGGCUCAACCCAUAAACUGCAUUUGAAACUGUAGAGCUUGAGUGAAGUAGAGGCAGGCGGAAUUCCCCGUGUAGCGGUGAAAUGCGUAGAGAUGGGGAGGAACACCAGUGGCGAAGGCGGCCUGCUGGGCUUUAACUGACGCUGAGGCACGAAAGCGUGGGUAGCAAA
rnacentral:rRNA from 1 species